GCGUCACGCGCGGGCGCCGCCAAGGUCGGGAGCCGAGGAGCCUGCGCGGGAAGCCAAGGGCUGUAAAAACUGCUUCAGUAAUGUAACUCCUGUGAGAGCUCUCCGAGGGAAUUAGUGACAUCCCAGUGAAUUCUCAAAAGAGUGUACCUGAGACGUAUUGGCCAGCCUGAACUGCAUGUGGAUAGGCAACCUGACUUCUAAGCAACUCACCCACUUUGGAAGGAACUGUGUCUUGGCUGCGACUGAGGCGACAGCGGGGGAGGAAGGGAAUGGAAAUGUACUACGACUCGGUGGACCAGUUCUUUCUCAGGCUGGUAACAUUACGGAAUCCCUGUUGUAAUGCAAGUUGAGCUGGUGGAAAUCUGAGUCCCAUGCCCGCUCCUCAUAAGCUGUUUGUCCAGGCCUGAGGGAUUCCCACGGUCAUAAAGCAGAGUCACUGGCGUUUGGAGUCCUGAGAACCUUGCUGCCCCUGAGGCCAUUUAAGUCAGAUGCCCUGGGGUGGACCUGGUGUCAGCGUCCUGUCAAGCUUUCCACGUGACUCCGGGCACAGCAGGCUUGGAGAACUAGUGUGGCGUCUUCCUGAUCACAAGGCACGGAGCUCCCCUGUGGCCCUUUUGGUCUGUCACACAGCCUGGCUUCUUGUGAUCUGUCUGAUUAAAAAUGGAAGCCUGUGGCUUGCCUGGUGAUGCCCAGGGGAUUGCCUUCUCCCUGAGAGGGAGGGCCAGUGUUGGUCCCGCGCGCGCCAGCGCCACCUGCAGGCUUGUCAGAGCAGACUGCUGGGCCCACCCCAGGGUGGGACUCAGUGGUGGUGGGGUGGCGUCCACGCAUCUGCACGCACAACGCAUUCUCAAGUGAUGCCGAGGCUGGUAGCGGACGCACCUUGAGAACCGCCAACCCAGAGGACCUGGACUGAGGGAGCCCCAGCAGCUUUGGACCCUUGGGAGAGCCUAAGAGUGGACAGGGAAGUAAAAGACCCGCUGGAAACAUCACUUCACCUGGAGCUUAGCAGUUAGUAGCCCAGACCCCAAAUCCAGCCCAUAGACGUGUUCUGUAGGUCACACGGCGCUUUCCAUAAAGCAAAGUACUAUUUAAAAAACCAGUAACUUACCCAAUACACAUUUACCUGCACACACACAUGCACACACACACACACACACGCACACACAGACAAAUCUUGAUUUUUCAAGAAGUGCGUUGGCAGAAAGGAGCAGAUGUUCCCACAUGGCACUGGUAGGGUAAGGUAAAAGGUAUCAGGCUUUUCUGCCCUCCCGCCAUCAGGAUAGAUGAGGGAACCCUGUGAUCCUGAAUGCAUGCCUGAUGGCGGGCAUCUGAAGUGGGUACACCUGUGCUAAGACUGUGCUUUUAAGGGCAGCGUCACGGGGACGCCAGGAGAAGCCGAGAAGCAGAAGAAGCCGAAAGAGAAGAAGCCCGAAGCAGAAGCAGAGAAGGCUGGAGAGCCCAGAUAGAGUGAACACUUGCUGGGGGCUGGGAGGCCUGCCAGCCUCCCGGCCCCCCAGCACCCCUGCCUGCCAUAUGCCUGGUGAACCCCAAUAAAAGACCUGCAAAAAACCACUGAGGACUCUGACUCCUCCUUU